rnacentral:rRNA from 1 species
AAAGCGUGCGCAGGCGGUUUUAUAAGUCUGAUGUGAAAUCCCCGGGCUCAACCUGGGAACUGCAUUGGAGACUGUAAGGCUAGAGUGUGUCAGAGGGGGGUAGAAUUCCACGUGUAGCAGUGAAAUGCGUAGAUAUGUGGAGGAAUACCGAUGGCGAAGGCAGCCCCCUGGGAUAACACUGACGCUCAUGCACGAAAGCGUGGGGAGCAAACAGGAUUAGAUACCCUAGU